rnacentral:rRNA from 1 species
GACGAACGCUGGCGGCGUGCCUAAUACAUGCAAGUGGGACGCAAGGAAACACACUGCGCUUGCACACCGUGUUUUCUUGAGUCGCGAACGGGUGAGUAACGCGUAGGUAACCUGCCUAUUAGCGGGGGAUAACUAUUGGAAACGAUAGCUAAUACCGCAUAAUAUUAAUUAUUGCAUGAUAAUUGAUUGAAAGAUGCAAGCGCAUCACUAGUAGAUGGACCUGCGUUGUAUUAGCUAGUUGGUAAGGUAAGAGCUUACCAAGGCGACGAUACAUAGCCGACCUGAGAGGGUGAUCGGCCACACUGGGACUGAGACACGGCCCAGACUCCUACGGGAGGCAGCAGUAGGGAAUCUUCGGCAAUGGACGAAAGUCUGACCGAGCAACGCCGCGUGAGUGAAGAAGGGUUUCGGAUCGUAAAGCUCUGUUGUAAGUCAAGAACGUGUGUGAGAGUGGAAAGUUCACACAGUGACGGUAGCUUACCAGAAAGGGACGGCUAACUACGUG